rnacentral:rRNA from 1 species
CCUACGGGUGGCUGCAGUGGGGAAUAUUGCACAAUGGGCGCAAGCCUGAUGCAGCCAUGCCGCGUGUGUGAAGAAGGCCUUCGGGUUGUAUAGCACUUUCAGCGGGGAGGAAGGCGUUAAGGUUAAUAACCUUGGCGAUUGACGUUACCCGCAGAAGAAGCACCGGCUAACUCCGUGCCAGCAGCCGCGGUAAUACGGAGGGUGCAAGCGUUAAUCGGAAUUACUGGGCGUAAAGCGCACGCAGGCGGUCUGUCAAGUCGGAUGUGAAAUCCCCGGGCUCAACCUGGGAACUGCAUUCGAAACUGGCAGGCUAGAGUCUUGUAGAGGGGGGUAGAAUUCCAGGUGUAGCGGUGAAAUGCGUAGAGAUCUGGAGGAAUACCGGUGGCGAAGGCGGCCCCCUGGACAAAGACUGACGCUCAGGUGCGAAAGCGUGGGGAGCAAACAGGAUUAGAUACCCGUGUAGUC